CAUGGCUCUGGAUUUGGCUGUGAUGUGAUGAGAGUGGGAAACAAGUUUCAAAGUAUGCUGACUAUAGAGGGCAUUCAAGUAAAAACAGAGCACUGGCUAUGCACAGGUCUAGUUUGAGUUUUGUUGUGAAGCACCGGAUUCAUUCAUACAUCAAAGGGAAUCUAAGGCAUCAGAGCCCACAUAGACAGAAAACAAAGGCACUGUUUACAAGGCGGAAACUUGCUGAGAGAAGCAGCUGAGUUUUGCAAGGCUCACCCACUGACUGCCACCUUGGAGAGUGCCUGGGACUGCAGGAGUACAGUGGACUUCCAGUCCUCCAGUCCCUCACAAAACUUGGAGAAGCCCCUUGUCAGUCAGAAACUUUGACAG